CCUACGGGAGGCAGCAGUGGGGAAUAUUGCGCAAUGGGGGCAACCCUGACGCAGCAACGCCGCGUGAUUGAAGAAGGCCUUCGGGUUGUAAAGAUCUUUAAUCGGGGACGAAUUUUGACGGUACCCGAAGAAUAAGCUCCGGCUAACUACGUGCCAGCAGCCGCGGUAAUACGUAGGGAGCAAGCGUUAUCCGGAUUUACUGGGUGUAAAGGGCGUGUAGGCGGGGAAGCAAGUCAGAUGUGAAAUUCCAGGGCUCAACCCUGGAACUGCAUUUGAAACUGUUUUUCUUGAGUGAUGGAGAGGCAGGCGGAAUUCCGUGUGUAGCGGUGAAAUGCGUAGAUAUACGGAGGAACACCAGUGGCGAAGGCGGCCUGCUGGACAUUAACUGACGCUGAGGCGCGAAAGCGUGGGGAGCAAACAGGAUUAGAUACCCUAGUAGUC
rnacentral:rRNA from 1 species